rnacentral:rRNA from 1 species
GACAAACGUGACGAGCGUUGUUCGGAAUCACUGGGCAUAAAACGCACGUAAGCGGCGGCGUAAGUCGGGUGAAAUCCCUCGGCCCAACCGAGGAACUGCGCCCGAUACUGCGUUGCUUGAGGAUCAGAGGGGUGCACGGAAUUUCCGGUGGAGCGGUGAAAUGCGUUGAUAUCGGAAGGAACGUCGGCGGCGAAAGCGAUGCACUGGCUGAUUUCUGACGCUGAGGUGCGAAAGCCAGGGGAGCAAACGGG